UACGUAGGGUGCGAGCGUUAAUCGGAAUUACUGGGCGUAAAGCGUGCGCAGGCGGUUAUAUAAGACAGAUGUGAAAUCCCCGGGCUCAACCUGGGACCUGCAUUUGUGACUGUAUAGCUAGAGUACGGUAGAGGGGGAUGGAAUUCCGCGUGUAGCAGUGAAAUGCGUAGAUAUGCGGAGGAACACCGAUGGCGAAGGCAAUCCCCUGGACCUGCACUGACGCUCAUGCACGAAAGCGUGGGGAGCAAACAGG
rnacentral:rRNA from 1 species